rnacentral:misc_RNA from 1 species
ACGUGCGUGCGCAUACACACCACCCCUCACCUCGCUGCUGCUGCUGUGACAUCUCUACGGACCCUGCCCAGUCGCUGCUCCCCCGCCACUCGCCUCUGUCCCCCGCCCGAGGGUACCUACGACGUGCCGGCCACCCCGCUCUGCCCGAUAAGCUGAACUGGCGCUCACGCCCGAGCAAUCCCGCCCACGGAUCUGCUGCCGCCCCGCACUGCUCUUGACGCUGGCUGCGAAUGGCGCUGUGCGUGCGUCGGCUGGUGCUGGCGGCGACCCUCGCCGCUGCGGUGGCGCUGCUGCUGUGCACGAGCAGUGCGCCGGUGGUGCGUGCCGCUGGAACGGCCGACUUCACUGCUGCACAGCGGAGGAACACGCUGACGGUGCUGCAGGCGUUCGGGCGUGCGAUCCCUGAGCUUGGGAAGAAGUGGACGGGCGACGACUUCUGCUUGUGGGAGUCCGUCAUGUGCGAUAGGACAGGAGUGUUCGUCUCGGGAAUCGGUGCGACGUAUGCCGGCACGCUGCCGGAGAUGCCUGAUAGGGUCGACUACACGAACGUCAUGAUCAAGCAGCUCGACUUUUCCGAAAUGGGUCUGGGGCUGACCGGGACGCUGCCGGAGAGCUGGAGCAGGCUGCAACUGCUGACUUUCCUUACGUUUUCGGGCAACAACGUGAGCGGGACGCUGCACGCCUCAUGGAGGUCGAUGAAGUUGCUGAAGGAAUUGUGGAUUGAAGAUUGCGGGAGUAUCUCCGGCAGCCUGCCUUCUGAGUGGAGCUCGAUGUCUAAUUUACAGACGCUGCUGCUCAGACAACUGCAGCUGAGCGGUACGCUACCGCGUGAGUGGGCUGCGAUGUCUUCAUUACAUACGCUGGAGAUGACUGCUGCAGGCGACAUCACCGGCACGCUACCGCCCGAGUGGAGCUCGAUGAAGUCGCUGAUGAGUCUUUUCGUUAACGAGUCGCUGAUCAGCGGCACGCUGCCCCAGCAGUGGAGUUCGAUGAAUGGGCUGAUCGUUCUUGCACUGAUGCGCUCUCAGGUCUCUGGCACACUGCCUGCGGCGUGGAGCUCAAUGACAUCGCUGACGACUCUGAACCUGCAGCGCACAAACCUUUACGGCACGCUGCCGCUCGAGUGGAGAUCGAUGACAUCGCUGAGAUUCCUUUAUCUUCGUCGCACUCGGGUCUCUGGCACGCUUCCGCCACAGUGGAGCUCAAUGACAUCGCUGACCCUUCUUGUUAUGCAGGCUACUCAGGUCUCCGGCACACUGCCUCGCGAAUGGAGCUCGAUGCCAUCGCUGACCCUUUUUUCUCUGCGGCGUACUCAGGUCUCCGGCACAUUACCUCGUGAAUGGAGCUCGAUGAAAUCACUGACCCUUCUUGCUCUGCAGUACACGAAGGUUUCCGGCACGCUGCCGCCACAGUGGAGCUCGAUGAAAUCGCUGACCACUCUUGCUCUGCAGCACACUCAGGUCUCCGGCACGCUGCCCCCGCGGUGGAGCUCACUGACAUCGCUCAACCUUUUAAAUCUGCACUACACUAAGGUCUCCGGCACGCUGCCACGCGAGUGGAGUAUGAUGACGAGUGCCGAGGUCCUUCAGCUGGAGUACUGCAACCUGUCCGGCAGUCUGCCCCCCGAAUGGUCUGCGAUGCCGAGGCUGAAGGAAGUCUCACUGAGGGGCAACCACUUCUGCGGGUGUGUGCCGGACUCGUGGGCCCAGAAGGUUUCUCUCGAGGUGAACAUCGAGGACGAGCACAAGGGCAGGGACUGCAGGCUUGGUAACGAGUGCAAAACAAAAACUGCUCCGCAAACCACCACCACGACCACCACUGAACCCUUCCACCACCACGACCACGACGACGGCUAAUGCGCCGCCGACAGCACCCCCCUCCACGACCACCACUGAGGCACCGUCUGAACCCACCACCUCUGCGACCCCACGAGACACGCCUACUCCUGCCCCCGAGACGGAGUGCGAGGUGGAUGGGUGUGAGGUGUGCGAGAGUGACUCCGCUGCGAGGUGCGCCAGGUGCGGUGAGGGCUGCUUCCUGACGGACGAGAGGACGUGCCUGGUGUACUGCGAUGGCGGCGUUGCGGCCGUGUCGAGCGGAGCGGCUGCUGCCGCUGCUGUGUGCGUGGUGGUGCUGCUGAGCGUGGGGCUGGCGGCGUGAGGAUGCCGCUGCUGUUGCGCACAGGCGGCGGCCCUCGCUGCGUGGCACACGACUGUCUGCGUGCUUGCGUGCAGCACCGCGCCCUGCAUUGGCGUGCGCGUCUCUGUGUGCAUGACUGCUGGCGGUGCCCUCCCUCCUGCCUCUCGCUGCCUCUUCGUCUCUCCGCGUGUGGAUGCUGUGGGCUGUGUGUGAGGCUCUCGUGCGGCACUGCUGCUCUCGCGGUGUCGCUCCUCUGCCCUGACUCUCUCUCUCGCCCGCGUGUGUGCCUGUGGGCUGAUGGGGGCGGAGCGCGGGUGUGUGUGGAGCGGGGCAGCCGCUGGAGAGAGGGUGAGGGGGCGAUAGCCGAGGUGCAAGGGCCGCGGUGUUUGUGCGGCCAUGUGCGAGUGUGCGGCACACGGGCGCUGCGGGCAUCGGCCUCGGACCGACAGCCCGCACCCCCUCCGUCGCCUCCACUUCUCCCCUCGAGCACGCGAUGGCGGCACUGGCGCCCCUUGCUCUGCUGUGCACUCGUGCGCCCGCCCCGCCGCUUCUUUUCCGUUUGUGUUGUGUUCUCUCUCCUCCCUCUCGUUGAUGUACGUCUGCGCGUGUGGCUGUGCUGGCACGCCUUGCCGCGCCCCUUGCGCCGCUGCCAUCGGCGGCUUCGUCGCUGACGCUGCCGCUCGCACGCGUGCUCGGGCCGUCUGUGCAGCAGCGGUGGUGUGCCGGAGUCGGCGGCACGCCGUCGAACCCUGAUUGGCGCCUCCGCCAGGUGCGACGGGGAAGCUGGGGGGAUGGGGAGGGCGUGGGCGCCCUCGUGCGCGGCAUGCGGGGAUGCGCGUGCGGCGGCGCUCUACUGCGCUGAGUAGUGAGGCUCGGUGCACGCGGCGCGAUGGCACGCAGCCUCGCUACCGGGCCACCCCGCUGUGCGUACGCAGCGGGUGAGCAGGCCCGUGCUCUCCCCUGCACCUUGCCCCUCCCCCCACCCUCCUCUCUCGCAUGCCGGCGAGGGAGGGGUGGCACGUGCGCGUGUGCCGCUGCGCUUGCGAGUGCGUCUGUGCGUGGGCCCUCACCACGUGCUCCGGUCACGCCUUUUCGGCUGGCCACUGGCGGCGCUGAGGGCGGUGUGCCCCUCCCCCGAGCGCCGUCGCACUCUCUUCCGCGCGCCUGCGCGGGCUUCUUCGUGUGCUGUGCUCAGCCGUGCGCUCUCACCUCUUUCCCUUUUCAUUCGCUUGUCUUCUCUCUUCUCCCCCGCACUGCGGUCUCCCCUCCUCUGCCGUGCGGUGCGCAGGCGGGUGACUUGCCGUUGCGUCUCCCCCUUUCGUGGAGCGCUGAGCCGAUCCCCCUUCGGCCUCCCUCCUCCCUCCUCCCGUGUGGGUCCUGUCUGUUGUACAUCGUCGGACCGUCUCUUCGUAUUGCCUCUCCGCCCCUUCCGCAAAUCUGCGCUCGCCUGUGCCGCCGCUCGGACUUGAGCCUUACUGUGAUUGUAUUCUCACGGUGCGUCUCCGUGUGUGUGUGUGCAUCACCGUUGGGCGGCGACAUCGCUGCCCCUCCCUGCCACCCUCUACUCCCUCAUUCGCAUCUGGAACUUUCGUGGGCGGCGCAUGCGUGCAUUUGGAUGUGUGUGUAAGUGUUUGGGUGUAUGUAUAUGCGUGUGUGUUGAAGUAGCUGUGUAUAAGCAAGGGCAUGUGCCUGUGCAUGCAUAUAAAUAUGUUUAUGUGUAGUGUGUGCCGGCACGUGUGUCGCGCCACGCUCUCUUGCCCGCCUCCCCUGUGCUUGUCACUUGCUCUGGGCGCGCUGGCGGCGGGCGCCGGGUGGUGGCCGCGCAGAAGGUGGGCGGCGGCCCUUCCCUAUUUCUGUCUUUCGCUAUUUCUCUGUUUCCUACUCGCGUGAACAAACGAAAGCUGCUCGGCCCCGUGGCCCCGACCCGCGCCGUGGGAGGGGAAAUGUGUUGUGGUAACGCCGAUGACGAUGGGCGUUGUGGCGAGGACCGUGCGCGGAGGCUGCCGCGACGGUGGCGUGCAGCGCGGGCCUCUGGACAUGCGUGCGUGCCGUCUCUCCCCACCGUUGCUCCUCUCCCUGCCUGCCCAGACAUCAUCUCUCUCUGCCUGCCCUCCCCCUCCGCCGCGCCUGAGCCCUGUGCACUGCCUGCCCGGCUGCGUGCGUGUGCGUGUCUCCGUCUGUGCCCGGGGCACCACUCAUUCACAG